AUUUUGAAUUAGACCAAAUUAUUAUCCUUAUGUUUAAGAUAGAUUCAUCAUUUCCUGCAACAGUAUGAGCACAUUAUCUAAUCAAUUUAAGCAUAUUUACCAAGCAUGUCAUAAGUAUGAAAAACAAUAUCAAUUUUCUCUUAAAUAUUCUUGUGCUAUUCCAUAUAAUUACAGUCAUCAAUCCUACAAUUGUAAAAUCUUUUCUGUGCACUCUUGAUGCUAUUCUAAGAAAUAGUUACUUCUUUUAUUUUCUUAUAAAUAAAUUUUGUAGAAAUUUUGUCUUUUUUAGAAACUAUUUUAUCAUAUCAGCAUUAACCAAGGACAAACACAUAACCUCUCUCCCUCUUUUACAGCCAGUCCUGUUGUAAAAGAGGGAAAAAGUUGUUGGUUUUAUGACCAUGUAAUAGUGUUCAUUUGCUUGGGUUAAUUCAGAUUACUACAUUUAAAGUUUUUUUAGAGGAGUUCUUCAUUGAACUCCUCCACCUCCUGAAUCCUAGUGUCUAUCCUAUGGUAAUCAGAAGAAUAUGGUGGAUGAGCUAUAAUUAAAUUUGAUUAUCCUCACUUUUUCUUAGCAGAUGGGUCUGGUCUGUUGUCAUAUAUAGGAGAAUGAAAAUCCUUCAUCCCUACAGCUGAUUCCAUCAUAUCUAUCUGGCUGACUCAAUGGUGGGUUCUAUUCAAAGUCCACCAUUGGUCAAUCCAUGGUGGGCUUUGAAAUUACUAUUGCCAUAUUCAAUUAUGUCCUCAAUCUCGUGUGAGAUUUAUAACUGAAUAUGAUAAUUUCAAAGCCCAUCAUGGAUUGACCAAUGAGGAAUCCUUUUGUAUGUUAGAGAAAAGUUUUUACCAGUAGACAAAAGAGGUUUUGAUAAGUGGGCCAUUGGCAAGAGUGAUUGUGGAGCUUGUUUAAAGAUAUAAAGAAGGAAGAGCCUUCCUGAAGUUUAUGAAUUUGAUUAAAUUGUACUACAGGUAUGUACAGAUGUCUAAUAGCAUGAGAAUAAAGUCAUAGUGUAAAAAAAUCAUAAUAGAGAAAUGAUAGAUCAAACUAUUUGCUCCUUUAGGUUAAAUCUAAACUAGUGCAGUGAUCAAAAAAAUCUAUUUUCUGGAUGUUGAAAUGAGUAUAAGUGAAGAGGAGUGUCACAUGAGAAUCUAUUGAAAGCCAUUGUAUGAUUUAAUUUUCAUCCUGAAAGUGCAAUUUAAAAAAUCAGGAUUUAGAAUAAUAUUCUGUAGAAGGUAUAUGCCUUAUAACAGUGUCUCAUCAAGGAAGGAAAAGAACAAUCAAAUAAUAAUCUAUGGUUAUAUGUGACGAUUCAGCCAAAAGUUUGAGGUGUGUCUAUGAGGAAAUAAUGUGUAAACUAGAAGAAUAAAGAUAAAGAAAAUUUAAAAAAGAGGCUAAAAGAACAUGAAGAAAAUAUUUGAUAAGAAAAACUACAAUACCACUAAUCUGUAAAGUGUUUGAACACAAUGCUAGUAUAGAAUGAAACAAAACAAAGAUAAUGAGGACAAAUAUGAAAUUCAUGGAGGUUACCCACAGCCAAAGUGAUUGAGAUCAAAUAUAAAAGAAAGAACCCAAAGUAUCAUUGAUAAUAACUGUCCUAACUUUUCACUGUCAUGUUUAUGGUAUUUUAAGUAUAUUAACAAUAUAUAAAUAUGGAGAAAAAAUGUUCUCUCUUAGUACACAAUGAUUUUUCAUAUCACAUGUAUUUAAUAUAUAUUCUAUAUCAAUAAAGUCUUAUGUAAUCUCACUUGCUUAUUAUCAACAGUUCAUAAAAGCAAACAGCACAAAUUGCAAGCAUAGCACGGUUUUGUUUGGUAGAGCGUUUUCGGUCCAUCAUGCGGGCCCUCUUCAGUGCGUGCAGGGGAGAUCGGA
rnacentral:lncRNA from 1 species